UACAACGGUGAGACAGCAGCUGUCUUUGUGAGUACACAUCAGCAAAAACUGCCAACGUGGCCUUCAUUAACUGAAGAAAGAGAGUCAGGUCGUCGCUUCGUUCGUCUACGGUGUGGGCGAGUGCUCCCAGGCAAACAGACGACUCCUCCCCCGCGUUGUACGAGCAGCGGUGGCUGGUUGACGGCGCCGCGGAUCCGCUGCGCUUCAGCUUGUGCGUGCGAUUCCGGCAAACCAGCGAGUGCUGGUAUCUCUCGUCGUCCCCAAUCGAGACCUCCCCCGUCCAGAUCGAGCUCCAUGAGCCGGUCGUCCCCGCCGGCCUCCUGGAUGAACAUGGCGACCCACCGCGGGCGGUGAGCGGCCGUUCGAAGCGGCCGUGUGGUAGAGGUGCUUGGUCUGAUGGGGAGACGCUAGUUGCAGCCGCUAGCUUCUUGCCUUCUUGCUCGGUGGGAGAAGAAAGAGCAGAGAGAGAUUUUUUAAUGCGGCAGGGAAGAACCCAGCAGCAAAGAGAGGAGAAAGAUGUACAUAAAAGGCUGGCAUGUGGGUCCCGUGUGCUAGAACUAAGUUGUUAUGGUAGAACUUAGCAGGUCCCGUUAAGUACCAAAAUGGCUACAAAGAUAAAAUAUGUACUAGAUCACUAUGAUUUACAUGUCAAAAGAUGAAUUGAAUAUUUUGCAGACAGCUAAAUAGACAACAACUGUCUAACUAUUGUACAAAUUGUCUAUUUAGUUGUCUGUA